UACGUAGGGUGCAAGCGUUGUCCGGAAUUAUUGGGCGUAAAGAGCUCGUAGGCGGUCUGUCGCGUCUGCUGUGAAAACUCGGGGCUUAACCCCGGGCCUGCAGUGGGUACGGGCAGACUAGAGUGCGGUAGGGGAGACUGGAAUUCCUGGUGUAGCGGUGAAAUGCGCAGAUAUCAGGAGGAACACCGGUGGCGAAGGCGGGUCUCUGGACCGACACUGACGCUGAGGCGCGAAAGCGUGGGGAGCAAACAGG
rnacentral:rRNA from 1 species